GUGCUCACUUUGACAGCACAUAUACUAAAAUUGGAAUGCUACAGAGAAAAUUAGCAUGGCCCUUGUGCAAGGAUGACAUGCAAAUUUGUGAAGCAUUACACAUUAAA